UGGGGGAUAUUGCACAAUGGGCGAAAGCCUGAUGCAGCGACGCCCGUGGGGGAUGAAGGCCUUCGGGUUGUAAACUUCUUUUGCUCUGAACAAGGCAUGCCUUUGGGGUGUGUUGAGUGUAGGGGUUGAUUAGCGCCGGCUAACUACGUGCCAGCAGCCGCGGUAAUACGUAGGGCGCGAGCGUUGUCCGGAAUUAUUGGGCGUAAAGGGCUUGUAGGUGGCUGGUUGCGUCUGUCGUGAAAGCUCAUGGCUUAACUGUGGGUUUGCGGUGGGUACGGGCUGGCUUGAGUGCAGUAGGGGAGGCUGGAAUUCCUGGUGUAGCGGUGGAAUGCGCAGAUAUCAGGAGGAAUACCGGUGGCGAAGGCGGGUCUCUGGGCUGUUACUGACGCUGAGGAGCGAAAGCGUGGGGAGCGAACAGG
rnacentral:rRNA from 1 species